rnacentral:rRNA from 1 species
UACGUAGAUGGCAAGCGUUGUCCGGAUUUACUGGGUGUAAAGGGCGUGUAGCCGGGCUGACAAGUCAGAUGUGAAAUCCGGGGGCUCAACCCCCGAACUGCAUUUGAAACUGUUGGUCUUGAGUAUCGGAGAGGCAGGCGGAAUUCCUAGUGUAGCGGUGAAAUGCGUAGAUAUUAGGAGGAACACCAGUGGCGAAGGCGGCCUGCUGGACGACAACUGACGGUGAGGCGCGAAAGCGUGGGGAGCAAACAGG